rnacentral:rRNA from 1 species
AUAUCCUACGGGAGGCAGCAGUGGGGAAUAUUGGACAAUGGGGGGAACCCUGAUCCAGCGACGCCGCGUGAGUGAAGAAGUAUUUCGGUAUGUAAAGCUCUAUCAGCAGGGAAGAAAGAAAUGACGGUACCUGAAUAAGAAGCCCCGGCUAACUACGUGCCAGCAGCCGCGGUAAUACGUAGGGGGCAAGCGUUAUCCGGAUUUACUGGGUGUAAAGGGAGCGUAGACGGCGGUGCAAGUCUGGAGUGAAAGGCGGGGGCCCAACCCCUGGACUGCUCUGGAAACUGUAGUGCUGGAGUGCAGGG